CCUACGGGAGGCAGCAGUAGGGAAUCUUCCACAAUGGGCGCAAGCCUGAUGGAGCAACACCGCGUGAGUGAAGAAGGGUUUCGGCUCGUAAAGCUCUGUUGUUGGAGAAGAACGUGCGUGAGAGUAACUGUUCACGCAGUGACGGUAUCCAACCAGAAAGUCACGGCUAACUACGUGCAGGCGGCGCGGGGAAUACGUGGGUGCCAAGGGUUAUCCGGAUUUUUUGGGCGGAAAGCGAGGGCAGCCGGUUGCUUAGGUCUGAUGUGAAGGCCUUCGGCUUAACCGAAGAAGGGCAUCGGAAACCGGGCAACUUGAGUGCAGAAGAGGACAGUGGAACUCCAGGUGUAGCGGUGGAAUGCGUAGUUAUAUGGAAGAACACCAGUGGCGAAGGCGGCUGUCUGGUCUGCAACUGACGCUGAGGCUCGAAAGCAUGGGUAGCGAACAGGAUUAGAUACCCCGGUAGUC
rnacentral:rRNA from 1 species